UACGUAGGUGGCAAGCGUUGUCCGGAUUUACUGGGCGUAAAGAGCGCGCAGGCGGUCGGGUAAGCCGGAUGUGAAAGCCCCUGGCUCAACUGGGGAGGGUCAUUCGAUACUGCUCGACUCGAAGGCAGGAGAGGGAAGUGGAAUUCCCGGUGUAGUGGUGAAAUGCGUAGAUAUCGGGAGGAACACCAGUGGCGAAGGCGACUUUCUGGCCUGUUCUUGACGCUGAGGCGCGAAAGCUAGGGGAGCAAACGGG
rnacentral:rRNA from 1 species